AAUGAACGUUGGCGGCGUGGAUUAGGCAUGCAAGUCGGACGCCCCGCAAGGGGAGUGGCGCAAGGGUGAGUAAGGCGAUGGUAACCAACCCCGAGGACGGGCAUAGCCGAGGGAAACCUCGGGUAAUUCCCGGCGAUGCAAGUGACUGGCAUCAGUCGCUUGCCAAAGGCUUCGGCCGCCGCGGGACGGGCCGUCGUGGUAUUAGGUUGUUGGUGGGGUGACGGCCCACCAAGCCUGCGAUGCCUACCGGGUGUGAGAGCAUGGCCCGGCACACUGGGACUGAGACACUGCCCAGACUCCUACGGGAGGCUGCAGUCGAGAAUCUUCGGCAAUGGGCGCAAGCCUGACCGAGCGACGCCGCGUGGAGGACGAAGGCCUUCGGGUUGUAAACUCCUGUCGAGGGGGAGGAGGGUGGCUCACGCCACUUGACCGAUCCCUGGAGGAAGCACGGGCUAAGUUCGUGCCAGCAGCCGCGGUAACAC
rnacentral:rRNA from 1 species